GCUUACGGCCAUACCACCCGAACACGCCCGAUCUGCUCCGAUCUCGGAAGCUAAGCAGGGUCGGGCCUGGUUGUAACUUGGAUGGGAGACCGCCUGGGAAUACCAGGUGCUGUAAGCU
ensembl:rRNA 5S_rRNA 5S ribosomal RNA